UACGUAGGGUGCAAGCGUUAAUCGGAAUUACUGGGCGUAAAGCGUGCGCAGGCGGUUUUGUAAGUCUGUCGUGGAAUCCCCGGGCUUAACCUGGGAAUGGCGAUGGAGACUGCAAGGCUAGAGUUUGGCAGAGGGGGGUAGAAUUCCACGUGUAGCAGUGAAAUGCGUAGAGAUGUGGAGGAACACCGAUGGCGAAGGCAGCCCCCUGGGUCAAAACUGACGCUCAUGCACGAAAGCGUGGGGAGCAAACAGG
rnacentral:rRNA from 1 species